rnacentral:rRNA from 1 species
UUUUCGGAGAGUUUGAUCCUGGCUCAGGACGAACGCUGGCGGCGUGCCUAAUACAUGCAAGUCGAGCGAACAGAAGGGAGCUUGCUCCCGGAUGUUAGCGGCGGACGGG